rnacentral:rRNA from 1 species
CCUACGGGUGGCAGCAGUGGGGAAUAUUGCACAAUGGGGGAAACCCUGAUGCAGCGACGCCGCGUGAGUGAAGAAGUAUCUCGGUAUGUAAAGCUCUGUCAGCAGGGAAGAAAAUGACGGUACCUGACCAAGAAGCUCUGGCUAACUACGUGCCAGCAGCCGCGGUAAUACGUAGGGGGCAAGCGUUAUCCGGAUUUACCGGGUGAAAAGGGAGCGUAGAGGGCAGGGCAAGUCUGGAGUGAAAGGCGGGGGCUCAACCCCCGGACUGCUCUGGAAACUGCCAGGCUGGAGUGCAGGAGAGGUAAGUGGAAUUCCUAGUGUGGCGGUGAAAUGCGUAGAUAUUAGGAGGAACACCAGUGGCGAAGGCGGCUUACUGAACUGUAACUGACGUUGAGGCUCGAAAGCGUGGGAGCAAACAGGAUUAGAUACCCCUGUAGUC